rnacentral:rRNA from 1 species
UACGUAGGGUGCGAGCGUUAAUCGGAAUUACUGGGCGUAAAGCGUGCGUAGGCGGUUCGUUGUGUUUGUCGUGAAAGCCCCGGGCUCAACCUGGGAAUGGCGAUGAAAACUGGCGAGCUGGAGUGUGGCAGAGGGGGGUGGAAUUCCACGUGUAGCAGUGAAAUGCGUAGAGAUGUGGAGGAACACCGAUGGCGAAGGCAGCCCCCUGGGCUGACACUGACGCUGAGGCACGAAAGCGUGGGGAGCAAACAGG